AGGUACAUUGUGCGGUAAAAUUAACGUAUUUUCCAGCAGUGUGGGGUUUUUUGGGUACUGUGGGGUUAACCCCAUAAUGAAGAGGUCUAAUUACGUUCAAAAUUACUCUAUGAGGUCGAAAAACCUAAAAUUAGAUUUAACCUCACAAAGACUUUGUCCAAAUUUUGGACAUGUCCUUAGCCCAAAACGCUCAGACAUUCAGAAAUCUGCUGUUUAGAGGAGUUCGGUAAUUGAAUCGAGGAGUUCCGAAUACCUGAACAUGCGCAUAUAUUUAAAACUAACUGCGCAUGCGCAGAUUACGGAAGUAGCUGUGUUUGGACACUUUGUAUUAGCAGUGAGGAAAUUCGGAAACACAAAAAGCAAAUGCAAGGUCUGCAAUGAAAAUCGACCGAUACCCGGGGGUCGGGCUAGUGGUUUUCUGCAUGAAGGUCGCCCCGUUGGCCAGUAAAAAAAGAUAAUAUUAUUUAUACACAUGCAAUACGUGCAAAGCACACCUGAGUUCAGAUACCACUGAAAGUGAACAUCAGUGGAACUUUGAUGAUCUAGGCCACUCUAUUGUUGCAGCAACACCAGCAGGCGUCGGACAUUCAUAAAGUUGAAAGAACAAACCUAUGACUUGAACACACAAUUUGUGAUCUGAAUAUAGUUCACAAAUUUAAGGAAAGCAACUAUUAAAGACAUCCAGAUCGAUGGUAUACAUGAAGUAUGAGUUAAAGACUUUUCAGAAGAACAAGCACAAUCCCGAUUCAUUUUUGCCAUUGCCUUCUCCAAACGGCGACAUUCAGGACCUGACUUACUUUUCAGAAAAAGAAGAUGAAUCGAUUUUUGAAAGUUAAUCUAAAAAGAUAACAUUUACAUGGGUCGUGGAUUUGAAUUACAUUUUCUUGAUGUGCAACUAGUUUCAAGUAUUUGGAUGUCUAUUCUCAAGUUACUGCAAACCUUAAAUUAACUUCUUGAUUAUUAGUUAAAUGUGAGACCGUGUCAACUUGAAGUAAUCAUUUUUUGAAUUGAGCUAUGUAAUCUCUGAUUACUUAUGUUUAUGAGUAGUGUUCAGCUUUAAGACAAAAGGAUCUUUUAUGAACAUUGCAUUCGGCAUGCGAAUUUCUAUACAUUAACAGUCAUAGUUUUCGUCUUUUUUAAUUAGCGAUCUCAUUUUAAAUGUGAGAAAUAAUUAUUAAACUGAAAUGUACAUUUACGUUGUUUGAUUUUAAUUUUUUGAAAAUUAUAAAUCAAUUGCAUGUUGGUUUUUUUUCAUUUUAUUUUAGGGGAUGGGAGUGGGGGUGCAGCUCUAAGUUUGAGUAUAUUUUCCAAAAGGAUGUACAUCGUUAUUUUUGUUUUAAGAUCAAUUUUAAAAUGCAAAAUGAUGAGAUAUUAGACUAAACUUUUUUUCUUAAAACUUCAUUUUA